GUAAGGGAAGUCGGCAAAACGGAUCCGUAACCUUGGGAUAAGGAUUGGCUCAGAGGACUGAGCCGGUCGGGCUGGGGACCUGAAGCAGGAACGGCACUGCACCGGGACUGGGCAGGGCUCGCCGUUCAUGCGGCGCGGCCAAGCCCUGACCAGCGUCGGGAACUUCCUGUGGAAAGCCUCAGCUGCGCGGCGUCUGAGGGCUUCGUGCCCAAAGUGCUAUGCUUCGGCCGGCAAAAAACAGUCAACUCAGAAUCUGGCACGGACCGGGGGAAUCCGACUGUCUAAUUAAAACAAAGCAUUGCGAUGGCCGCUGGUCGGUGUUGACGCAAUGUGAUUUCUGCCCAGUGCUCUGAAUGUCAACGUGAAGAGAUUCAUGAAAGCGCGGGUAAACGGCGGGAGUAACUAUGACUCUCUUGCGGGAGUAACUAUGACUCUCUGGCGGGAGUAACUAUGACUCUCUUGGCGCGUAC
rnacentral:rRNA from 1 species